rnacentral:rRNA from 1 species
GCAAUCAAUAAGCGGAGGAAAAGAAACCAACAGGGAUUGCCCUUAGUAACGGCGAAGUGAAGCGGCAACAGCUCAAAUUUGAAAUCUGGCUCUCGGGCCCGAGUUGUAAUUUGUAGAGGAUACUUUUGAUGCGGUGCCUUCCGAGUUCCCUGGAACGGGACGCCAUAGAGGGUGAGAGCCCCGUCUGGUUGGAUGCCAAAUCUCUGUAAAGUUCCUUCGACGAGUCGAGUAGUUUGGGAAUGCUGCUCUAAAUGGGAGGUAUAUGUCUUCUAAAGCUAAAUACCGGCCAGAGACCGAUAGCGCACAAGUAGAGUGAUCGAAAGAUGAAAAGCACUUUGAAAAGAGAGUUAAAAAGUACGUGAAAUUGUUGAAAGGGAAGCGUUUAUGACCAGACUUGGGCUUGGUUAAUCAUCUGGGGUUCUCCCCAGUGCACUUUUCCAGUCCAGGCCAGCAUCAGUUUUCCCCGGGGGAUAAAGACUUCGGGAAUGUGGCUCUCUUCGGGGAGUGUUAUAGCCCGUUGUGUAAUACCCUGGGGGGGACUGAGGUUCGCGCAUCUGCAAGGAUGCUGGCGUAAUGGUCAUCAACGACCCGUCUUGAAACACGGACCAAGGAGUCGUCUUCGUAUGCGAGUGUUCGGGUGUCAAACCCCUACGCGUAAUGAAAGUGAACGCAGGUGAGAGCUUCGGCGCAUCAUCGACCGAUCCUGAUGUUCUCGGAUGGAUUUGAGUAAGAGCAUACGGGGCCGGACCCGAAAGAAGGUGAACUAUGCCUGUAUAGGGUGAAGCCAGAGGAAACUCUGGUGGAGGCUUCGCAGCGGUUUCUGACGUGCAAAUCGAUCGUCAAAUAAUGGGCAUGGGGGCGAAAGACUAAUCGAACCUUCUAGUAGCUGGUUCCGC